CUACACAGCGUCCUCCGUGGUGAGCUGCAGGGAAGCGUUCUCAGCAGGGAGGGUCGCCCUCACCAAGCAGCCAAAGGGAAGAGGACGGAAUCUUAUCUCGGAGGGACACCCUUAGUCUUCAGAAGGAACUUUAUUUAUUUUCUGUUUCACAGCGAUCUGUGGAAUGUGUGGGUUCCCUGAAGAGGUGGACGGACCCCCGGGGUCGUGCGUUUUCUCAGCCCUGGACCCCUAGCGGACCAGAGCUCAGGGCCAGAAAUGUUGCGAUUCCGAACACUUUCCCGUUCUUCUGAGAGGAGCCGCCCGGCAGACGCUCAUCAUUAAGAGGCAACGUAAUUAACAACGAAUGUUUUCCCUUGGCGCUAAUGCGAACACCGUGGGGAACUGCCAAGUCUGAUGCUUGCUGAAUGGCUGACUUCUCUGAAAGGGAAAACAGCAGAAUCUGAGAGGAGGCAGUGGAGCAGAGUUCUUCCUUCCCUGUGCUAACAGGUAUGUGAUUCCUACUAUUUUCUUUGGUGGGAAGGGAAGCAUGAGGCAGGCCACUGAUCUCCAGUGGAAGUGAAGCCUGAGGAUAGGCUAAGAAUUGGGGAAAUUAAUAGGCUCCUAGGAGUCAGAAUGCUCAGCUUCUAUUCCUAGCAUUGCUUAAAAUUUUCAGGGGAAAGUACUUUAUAACCCUUGCAGCAUUUGGUGCCUUUAUUAGAAAAUCCUUUUAUGUGAGAUUUUGAGUUUUUAUUUUCUCCCCUCACCAGGAUAAUGCACAGAAAGAGCUCAGGUGGGAGUCUGAGACACAGGGGUCUGACAUGUAUAAUAUACUCUACUGCACAGGAUUAUCGUGAGGGUUAAAUGAAAUAAUAAAUGUAGAUUACACUUAGCUCAGGACCUGCCACACACUUAGCUGAGGGCCAGGAAUUCAAUAACCAAUGACUAUCAAUGUCAAUCACUCUAGCUAUUUUGUAGAUGCAAAGUCCAAUAGAAACAGAAAGGGUGCAAAGCUAAAACGUUUUAAAUACUCAGAUCCACACUCUAAUCCAUUAAAAAACAAAAAACAAAAAAGAUAAUCCCUAAUUUUUCCUAACCUUGCAUUUUUGCAUUGAGAGGUGGUGACUUCCUAAAAAGAAGAUAGAUAAUCUGUAUAACAAUAUAGGUAAUCUAGAUACCUAUAUCUUUGUAAGAAAACCAGGCAGGGACACUUGAGAAACUCAACUCAUGAAAACGAAUGCUACUU